GGUUGCGAUCAUACCAGCACUAAUGCACCGGAUCCCAUCAGAACUCCGCAGUUAAGCGUGCUUGGGCGAGAGUAGUACUAGGAUGGGUGACCCCCUGGGAAGUCCUCGUGUUGCAAACCCCG
rnacentral:rRNA from 1 species